GACGUAGGGCGCGAGCGUUGUCCGGAUUUAUUGGGCGUAAAGAGCUCGUAGGUGGUUUGUCGCGUUGUUCGUGAAAACUCACAGCUUAACUGUGGGCGUGCGGGCGAUACGGGCAGACUGGAGUACUGCAGGGGAGACUGGAAUUCCUGGUGUAGCGGUGGAAUACGCAGAUAUCAGGAGGAACACCAGUGGCGAAGGCGGCUCACUGGCCCGUAACUGACGCUGAGGCACGAAAGCGUGGGGAGCAAACAGG
rnacentral:rRNA from 1 species